AGUUAAGAUCACUUCUGCCCAAGCUUUUCUUGUUCUAAUCAUUUCUUUCAAUCUCUGCAUUAGCUCAGCCUUGGCUAUCGACUACGGAGCCGAAAAGGCAAGCGCCGAGUUCAUCAAAACCUCGUGCAGCAAGACUACCUGGCCUAGUCUAUGCUUCACCUCACUCUCGAGCCACACCAGUGCAAUCCAGACAAGUCCUCGGCUUCUUGCUCAGACAAGUCUGUCAGUGGCUCUCAGUCACGUGGUUUCGACAUCGGCAGCCAUGCUAAGGCUGUCAAAAGCUCAUGGCAUGAAGCCUGCAGAAGUUGGGCCGAUGAACGAUUGUCUUGAAGAGCUGACUGACACGAUAGAUGAGCUCAAGCGAUCCAUGGGAGAGAUGAGUCAGCUCAAUGAAUCCCCCAAGUAUAGACUCUUGAUAAGUGACAUUCAGACCUGGGUCAGUGCGGCGCUGACAGACGAAAACACUUGCAUGGAUGGGUUUGCAGGAAAAACAGGGAGCACCAAGAAUGUGGUUCGGGGAAGAAUUUUAAAUAUUGUUCAUUUGACAAGCAAUGCUCUGGCUCUGAUAAACAACUACAAUUCUCUUCAUGGAUAGUUCAGACUUCAGAGUAGAAAUCAAAUUAGUGGUGUGUGGUAGCUUGCUGUGAUAUCUGUUGAGAAAUGAAUAUUAAAAUAGUAUCGAUCUUGUGAUAAUAUGGCAUAAUCAAGCCACAAAUAUGUAUUAUGUAACUGUAAACAUCCAUUUUUGUAAUAUGUAUGUUGAUCUUGUUACACCUUUUUUGAGACCGAACACUGAUUAAUUAUUAGAGUACUUGAUAAUCCGCAAAGCUUUUAUUAAUUUUAACCUUAAAUACAAUUUUGCUAGCAUCAACUUCUUUCAUAGCACUGAAUGUCGAGCAAAACUACAAUUAACAUGCGGACGUACAAUACACAGCAAUCUAAAACCAAUUACAUGCUCUUGAGACGUUAUAGAUUGGUGUCUACUUAAGAAUCUACAGGAUAAGCGGUGUGUGAGCGUGUAGCCGGGUAUACAUAACCCCGGUCUCCCACGUCCAUUUUAUUUGUCUAUUUAUUUUUUUCCCCACCUACUUUUAGAAAAUUUGGCUUAAUAUUUUUUUAAAAUUUAUUUUUUUAAUAAAAAUUUAAUAUUUAUAUAUUUAUUAUCAAAACACUUAGAAAAAUAUUAAUUUUAGUUAUUGAAUAAAACAAACAUCAAGUAAGUGGACGGAUAUAUAAUACGUAAAUAAUCUAAGUCUAUCCGACUUAUAAUUGGCGUUCACUUAUAAUCUAAGUGCGUGUUUGGCUGUGUGACUUCUGGGCUUAAAGCCUCAGAAGCUCACUUCAGCUUUUACACGGACCGUUUGGCAACAAAAGAAGCUGGUGGAUUAAGCGGAAAUAAGCCCAGCAAAAUAAGCUUUGAAAUCUAGCUUAUUUUUCACCCCGACUUCUGCUUCUUUCUAGGUGGUGUUUAGGUGUUGGAAUUUAGGAGUUGGUUUGAUUGCUGCUAAGUGUAAGGAGAUGCAGAGUUUGGAUCUGUCUUACUUACUGGUAAUAAAUUAUUUAUGUUCAUUAGCUGAUAAUAUUGCUCUUGAUCUAGAAUUUAGUGUAUUAAAUUUAGUCCAAAUUUUUUUAAUUUUAAUGCGGUUAUUAAUUUUUUUAAUUUUAAUGCAACGUUUAAAAUUUGGUACUUGUAAAAUAUUUCAUGUAUUAACAAUAAAAAAUCUUUUGUAAUUAUAAUUGAUUUUUUAAAAGAAACAAAUUAUUUAUAUUACAAAAUUACCAAACUAAUACCAACUUAUAAGUUAAGUUAUCCAAACAUUUAAAAAACUUCUGGUAGCUUAUAAAUCACGGUAUCCAAACACUUCUGGUAGCUUAUAAGUCCAACCAACUUAUCGCUUUUAAUCUAUUUCUUUAUUUUAAGCAAUAAGUCAUCUCUUUUAAAUUCAGCCAAACGGCCCCUAAGUCUUUCUCAAAUUGGAAAGAGCAACUUUGCGUUCACUAGAACGAAUUGAUGGCCGAGUAAAAAGAUAUAUGUACUAUGGGUGAUCAAGGAAAAUAUUAUAAUUUUCAUUCUUUUCAUUCUAAUAAUUUAAACUACAAAUUUAACCAACAUAAUUUGAAAGGUAUGCUUUGUGUAUAGUUUACAUGAUAGAAAAUUUAGACUUACUCAUAUUUAUUCAUUAUUUUCUCAUACUCCCUUCAUUUUUUAUUAAUUUUAUUUAUAAUUUUUCAUUGCAUUCUCCCCGGUUUUAUCCAAGUGAAUACAAUCCAAAGGACUGUUUGAUUUCAUAAUUUUUUCUAAUUUUUAGAAAUUAGAAAACCGUUCUUAUAAUGCAGACAUGGUGUCAAAUAAUUUUUUUAAAAAGAAAACAGAAAACUAAUAACAUGAAAAUGUAGAUUCUAAAAAUAAAUAGAAAAUAGAAAAUAAUACCUUAUGUUUUAUUAGUGGAUAGCCUAUGAUUUUUUUUCUUUUUGCUAAGUAUUACUAUCAUCCUAAAAAAAAUCAUACAUGGAUUCCUUUUUUUUUUUUUUUGGUGGUCAUUGUCAUUUUUCAACUUGGAUAGUUGCCGCAACAUAUGGUGAAAGAAUCGGACCCAAAGAGUUGAAGUGAUAUAUAGGGAGCUAAAGGGGGCUUCAUUCAUUGGACCGAAAGGCAAGUAGGAAACCAGAUUAACCAAGGUCGGAAUUAUUAAUUGAACUGAUUGCAAGUUUAGGGUGAAGUGCCAAAAUAUCCAUAUUUUGGAUAAUUUUUUUUAAAAUGUUUAUAGGCGGAACGGGAUGCCCAGAAUGAUCAAUUAAACGCGCAUGCUAUACAUGCGUGGUCAAGUUUAAUAUUUUUAACAAAAGAACACGCAUUUUGAAUUUGCGUAUAUAUUAACAAGAUUGUGAUUACGCAUUUUAGAAAUACGUGUUGAGCAUACCAACUUGAUACGCAUAUAAGACAUGCGUAUGUCUUCUAAAAAAAAUCACGGUCACGUAGGGCGACCGGGUCAGGCCUAACCCAUGAAUAAAAAGGACUGACCAACCCAGCUUUAUUAUAUGCGCAAGACUUGAUCCUGUAUCUUUGUCCUGUAUCUAGAUGUGAGAAUUCGUGCAGAAAGAGCGAGGAAGAUGAUAAAUGGACACGCAUUCGAGACAUACGAGUUCGGUUGAUUAAAAAGGACACACUCUCCUAUAUACUCCCUCCAUCCAUUUGAAGUGUCCUGUUUGACUUUUGAAUGGUCAAAUUGACCAAAUUUUGACUGAGAUUUACAUAUAUAAUAUAAAUUUUAAAAGUGAAAAAAUAUUAUAUCAUUAUAAAGUACAUAUAAUAUACUAUAAAAUGUAAUUUUUAGUUUUUUAAAAUAAUAACGAAUUUGUUCUUUAUGUUUGGUCAAAAGUAGAUCAAUUUGACCGUUGAAAGUCAAAACAGGACACUUAAAAUGGGAUGGUGGGAGUAUGUCACUUGAAUUUUAGUUAUUCUAGGCUUUUUCUCGCAAGUUUACGGUGCGGGCUAUGAACGUAGGUGCAGUGCUUUCACACUCCACACGUACCUACAUCUUUUAAGACCCCCAAGUUUUAUUAUACACGUAUUCUUUCUCAGUAUUCUUAGCUCUUUUACAUCUCCAUUUAUUAGUUAUUCAAGUCCUUAUAUAAUUUUUUUAUGAAGUCACUACUAAAUAAAAAUAUAUUUCUAUCUAACCAAAAUUUAUUAUUAGUGAAAAAUAAACUCAAAAAUUGAACUAAUAUUCCUUAUAGUUUAAACUUUCUCAUAUUUAUGAAAAUUUAAAAUAAUAUAAACAAUCCGUAUUGGAAAGUACUAGUACCUCUUAAGUGUAGAUUCAUUUCAAUAUAAUACUAUUCUAAUAAUACGUAUAUUUAAAAAUCAAAAUAGAUACAUAUUUUUAUUUUGAAUAAUUUAUUAUUUUAUUAUUUAUGGAUAAAAUAUAUUACUACGAUUUAAAAUAUUUUAUAGGUUUUAUUUUUAAAUUUUGAAGAUGGCCCUUCAUAAAUGAUCAUUAGCCGCCCGCAAUUUUGUUCGAUAUGUAUGUUUGACAAUGAGUCUUUUACUACAACAGUACGUAGAGAAGAAAAAAAAUACAAUAAUUGUAGUUUUAUUCUAAUAACGAAUUCACUCGUUGUAUAAACACCUUAUACGACCCGCAGAAAUAAAAAAAGGAAUUCUUUAAAUACGAUGGUCGUUAUUUAAUUAUUUCUAUUCCACGAUUCUACGACCACGCAGACAUGUGGAGAUUCUUGGACACAUUUGGCUGCGGCUGCUGCCUGCUUUAAUCUUGAGACGCUGCAAUAAUGCAUCAACGAACAAAAUCAGAUCGCAAUUCUCAACAUUUAAAGCAAAUUUAAUCAUUAUCAAAUUGUCAUCAUGUAUAAUAAAUUCGAGUAUUAUUUUAUGCAAGUCAAGCUGAAACACUAAAUCAAAUAAUUUGAACGAGACAUAAUCGAUCUAGAAGGGAAGAAGAUAGAAUCAGUAGAAGUGUGCGCAUAAAAAAUAAAACUUCUAAUCAAGCAUAAAAAGUUAAAACUAAAAUAAAACGAGAAUGAAACUUCUAGUUAAGCAUGUCAGAUAAUUUUCCACAGUCAACUGAAAGUCCUUGAUACUAUAGUGGUGUUGAAUCUUUUCACCAGUUGAUUCGAACUGUACUUAAGAUGCGUGUAUGUAACAUACACGGUGACACUAAUACUUACUUUAAGCGCAUAAUUAUAGAUAACUCGAUACAAUACGGAAACUAAUCUGAAUGGUUACAACUUACAAAGGAUAAGGUAGCAAAAAUAUGUAUGAUCUUUGUUGCUUCUACGUACGUUAAACUACAAAGAACGAACAUCACUAUACUUUGCAUUAUUGUACUCUUUUUUUAAAAAAUUAUUGUUUUGUGGCUAGUGUGUGGUCGAGUAUACUUGGUCCUUAUGCAGGACGUUCUCCUAAAAAUCCAGCCGCUCACAGAUGAUGCAGGACAUAUAUUGGGGUCAUUACUUCCCUUUUAAGUGCUAAACAGCCAAAUAAAGAGUUCAGUAUGAGGCUACAAGACAUGAGAAAGGGUAUUUAAUCAUGUCUCACUCGUUUUUACAAUUUUUAAAAUCCGAAUACGCGACAAACAUUGUAUAAGCUGAAAGUGCCGACUGCUCAGUGAAUUUGAGCAUCCCGCAAUUAUGCUGAGACAUGAAGUAGGGGUGAAGUUUGCGUACAUCUUACGACUCGUAAAAGUUUAGCUAAACCAAAGAGGCGGAAGGCAAGUCGAUAUUUUGUUGCAGUGAUGUUACUCUAUCCAAAUGCCGAGUAGAUAAGAAUAUCAAAACGCCCCAGCCCCCGGCCUCAGAAACUUCUCCAACUUGCCAAGUCCAAUUUGCCAUGCAUCAAACUCAGGCGACAACGCUAGUUUGGAGUACCAGACCCCAUCGUUUCAUUUAAUUAAGUUAAGACCACGUACCCAAAUUCAUUUACGACAGACUAAUUGUUCAGCCUGAUCUAAUCACUAAUCUUAUUACGCUAUUGAGAAAAAAAAACAAAUUGACAUCAACCAUAAGGAAUAGAUUAACUUCAAUAGUGGCCCCUUUGCAUCAACUUGUUGUUCUCUUCGAACCAAAUCUUUCACAUAAUAUCCAAACACAUGGACAACUUCGAAUUCUCCUAUAAAUAGGUAAUCAACUCCCUUCUACUUUCAUCACUCCACUACUCCAUAACCUAAUAAGUUCCACAAUUAAAACUGAGAAAUGGAAGGCUCCUUGAUCAAGAUCACUUCUGCUAAAGCUUUUCUUCUCGUGAUUAUUUCUUUUAAUAUCCACAUAAACUCGAGCGUGGCUAUGGACUAUGGAGCCGAAAAGGCAAGCACUGAGUUCAUCAAAACCUCUUGCAGCAAGACUAUCUGGCCUAGUCUCUGCUUCACCUCACUCUCAAGUCAUACCGGUGCUAUCCAAACAAGUCCUCGGCUUCUAGCCCAGACAGCGCUCUCAGUCGCUCUUGAUCAGGUGGUUUCGACGUCUGCUGCCAUGCAGAGGCUGUCAAAAGCGCCUGGCAUCAAGCCCGGGGAAGUUGGGCCGAUGAAUGAUUGCCUAGAAGUGUUAACGGACUCGAUAGAUGAGCUGAAGAAUUCCAUGGGAGAGAUGAGUCAGCUUAACGGAUCCCCAAACUACGCGCUCUUGAUAAGCGACAUACAAACCUGGGUGAGCGCCGCUCUGACAGACGAGGACACUUGCAUGGAUGGGUUUGCUGGGAAAGCUGGGAACACGAAGAACGUAGUGAGGGGAAGAAUUUUGAAUGUUGUUCAUUUGACAAGCAAUGCAUUGGCUUUGAUCAACAACUACAAUUCUCUUCAUGGAUAGUUGAAAGUUUAUUAAUCGUCGUGUGAUAUAUAGUUUGCUUUGAUUCCUAAAUCCUACUAGACUAUAGAAAUUGAGCUUGUAGUGUGUGCUAAUUAAUAUGCUGUAAUUAAGUCAGAAAUAGUUGUGCAUCCAUUGUGGUAUUUUGGCCUUAUAUUAAUAUAUUUUUAUAGCUAUAUAAGAUGAUUUGCGGCAUGCAUGCACACUCAUUUUGUGUCGCACGCCUGUAAACUGUAAUCCUCUAGCUCCUAGGGUUAAUGUUGGGAUUAUUUAUUUAAUCUAAACUUGUGUCAAUUAUUGUUAUGGGGUGUUUUAUUUGUUUAGUUGUUUUAAAUAAAUUAUAUCAGUUACGUGUGUAUAAGUAGCAGUAGGAGAGAUAUUAUAGGAGAGUCAUGGGAAGUGGAAGUAUAUUAGGAGUCCAGUACGCUACUUUCUAGGUUAGUUGCUAUUUUUGUGUUACCCACCUCUUGCCUGUGGUUCUAUUUAAACUGCAUGUACCUUGUUUAGUUUAUCAGAAGAGAAUACAAUGUAAUCUUUAUGUAUUUUCUCCGUUUAUACAUAUAAAACUACCGUCUCUAUAUCCUUUUUAUUAUUUUUAUCAAAUUCCAACAUGGUAUCAGAGCUUGCGGGGAGUAUCAAGGCUUAACAGCCUUCCCUACCAUUCCUUGGAGGUACGUAAGAGCAGUUGGAGUGAGGGAGCCGGUGAAGAAAGAGUUAGGACAAAAGGUUGGUUUGAUAGAGUGCGCCAACUGUUCCAUGAAAUGCAGGAGAGAUCAUCAUGUGCAGUAUGGGAUGCAUAUGGAAUUCUUUCAUUAGUCUAAGUGUCAGAUGGGCGUGCCAGACGGGCAAAUUUGAAGUGCGAUACAGUCAAAGAAGUAAUAGCCAUACGGGCUUAGAAGUAAUAGCCAUACGGGCUCAGAAGGAUAGCCAUACGGGCUUGUGAAGAAUAGCUAUACGGGCUCAGUGUAAAAGCCAUACGGGCUUGUGAAGAAUAGCCAUACGGGCUCAGAAGAAUAGCCAUACGGGCUUGUGAAGAAUAGCCAUACGGGCUCAAUUUAAAAGGCCACACGGGCCAAUAAAGAAAGUCUUAUCGGCUACCAAGGUCUUGCCAGAUGGGCAUCAAAGAUCAUGCCAGAUGCGAAGAAUUUGCCAGGCAGCUAAGUUUAGAUUAAGGAGGAGAUUGUUGGGAUUAUUUAUUUAAUCUAAACUUGUGUCAAUUAUUGUUAUGGGGUGUUUUAUUUGUUUAGUUGUUUUAAAUAAAUUAUAUCAGCAGUUACGUGUGUAUAAGUAGCAGUAGGAGAGAUAUUAUAGGAGAGUCAUGGGCAGUGGAAGUAUAUUAGGAGUCCAGUACGCUACUUUCUAGGUUAGUUGCUAUUUUUGUGUUACCCACCUCUUGCCUGUGGUUCUAUUUAAACUGCAUGUACCUUGUUUAGUUUAUCAGAAGAGAAUACAAUGUAGUCUUUAUGUAUUUUCUCCGUUUAUACAUAUAAAACUACUGUCUCUAUAUCCUUUUUAUUAUUUUUAUCAAAUUCCAACAGUUAAGGCGGUGACUUUGGUCAUUUGUUGCAUUCAGGGGUUAAAACUCAAUUCAGUCUUCUAAGAAUAAACCGAUGAACGCUGCUUAAAUGUUUGUUUAUUAGAACCGGAAUUUUAGCAAAGAAUAAGAACGUGUGCCCUGAAUGGAACACAUGCAAGAACAGAAGAUAUUUUUGUGUGUAAAACGUUGAUAACAUCCGGCUCGUAUAGUAUAUUUGCGCAGACAGAGGAUAGGCUUGAACAUACUGUGGGCAUGUUGUCCACAUGUUUUUUAAUGAAAGCAAAAAAUUAUUUUCAGAAAUAUUUUGUAUUUUUGUAAUAAUUUGACGAAUAAAUUUCAGGAUUGUGACCAAAGUUUUUGAAAUGAAAAUGUUGCAAGAAAGUAGUUGAACUUCAAAAAUAGCAAAUAUGUAGCCGAACUUCACCUCCGUUUUUUAAAAUAAUGACACCGGUCAAGUGCUGUUAGUUGAGCGCCGUUAACUAAAAAUAAAGAAAAUGAAGGGGUACAUGAGAAAAUUAACCCAACAUAUCCUAACCCCGUGAAAUUCACAUCUCAUUACUUUUACUACUUAAUUGUAAACCCUAAUCAGAACAAGCCCGUGUGGCCGUGUAGGAAACAGUGAAUUCUGACUCUUGCAGCGGCUCUGUGUUUUUGCAUUGGACUGGCAGUAUAUGUUGUACACUUGUAUUUACCUUUGAUUUUGUGUUAUUUUAUUUGUUUGUUGGAUUGAACCUUCUACUAAAUCUCAUACUUAAUUAUACAGAAAUCUAAGUUUCAUCCGUUUAUCAAAACUCUAUAAUCACUAGUAUUUGGAUGACAAUAGUUGAAAGUUUUGUUAGUUAAUACUCCCUCCGUCUCAAUUUAUAGGUCCAGUUUGGAAAGAAAAUUGUCCCAAAAUACUUGUCCCUCUCUUCUUUCAAUACAAAUUUAUCUACAUAUUAAUUGUGAUUUUUUUGAAACUCAACAUUAUUCUCAUUUCUCAAUGCACUAAAUCCCUAUAUUUAUUGUGAUUUUUUUGAAACUCAACAAUAUUCUCACUUAUCAAUGCACUAAUUAAUGAUAGAUGAGAUAAGAUUCCAUCUAACUAACUUUUUUCUUAAUAUGUGUGUUUAUUCCAAAAUGGACCUAUAAAUCGAGACGGAGGGAGUAAUUACCAAGAUUGCAAAGUUUAUAUCAAACAAAGAAGAUAUGUGAAUUUUUCUGCCAAAUAAAACCACUAAAAUGAGAUGAAACUAUUUUAUUUUAUAUUUUCAAAAUCAAGUGCACCUUAUCCACUGCCAGUUGAGAUUAAGAUGUUUGCCAUUACGAAGUAUAGAACUUAAUGAUAAUCUGGACAAAAUUGCAUGUUCUGAAUUCAAUAUUCCGAACGUGCAUGCUGGUUAGUUCUCCGGAUUAGUUGAGGUGCACGAAAAAUGGUCCGGACUCCAGAAAAAAGUAUGCUGGUUAGUUCUCCGGAUUAGUUGAGGUGCACGAAAAAUAGUCCGGACUCCAGAAAAAAGUAUGCUGGUUAGUUCUCCGAAUUAGUUGAGGUGCACGAAAAAUGGUCAGGGCUCCAGAAAAAAGUAUAGACUUCUAGAAGAUAUGUGCACAGUGUUCCUCUGACAAUUUUGUUAGUGUAUUAUGAAAGAAAGUUCACCUAAAAAGUGAACACAAAAUUUACAUCAUACAAGAGGCAACUAAGUGAUGUAUAAUCAGUCUAUAUAUAUCCUGUCGAAUGGAAAUAUCAGAAAAUAUAUUAAUUCUUUAAUAAUAAUAUCUAUACCUUUGGUUCCUACCAAAAAUCUGAUAAAGACUCGGACCACAAGAGAGCAUGACUGCAUGGGUAGCCCAUCUUCGACCAGAUACAUUAUACAAAGUUAUUAAAUUAAUUCAUUGAAUUAGAAUCCAAAGGCAACUAGAAAAUCACGGCUGAUUUCUAAACAUUGAAACCAAGGCAACUUGGUUGCAGUCCUAUCCAAGUGUACUGUAUUACUCCCUAUGUCCCUCUUAUUUUUUUACAAUUUUUCACACUGUUCGACACGUAUUUUAAGGCGUAUACAAAACAUAGUUUUGAAAGUUUAUUUUUUUGUAUAAAAAUUUAAACAUCAAAUUUUUAUUGAGAAGAAAAAAAAUUCAAAAUAAUUUAUCGAACUACAUUUUUGAGAAUAUUAAAAUGUGUGCGGAGCCCCCGUCUCGCGAUGUAAAGAAAUGAGGGGACGAAGGGAGUACACUCUAUCGGUUAACGCUCAAGUAGAUAUAUCUUCGAAUCAACAGCAAGUGGCAUAUCGGACAAGCCAUUAUAUCAGCACCUUAAAACAAAGCGGACUGUAUGGGUUGUUUAUCACAAACAAGUACAUUUUUAAAGAUAGUUUUAUAAGACUCUUGCAGGAUUCCGUCUCCAUGUAACGUAGGCCGUAAAUGUAUGCAUCAUACAUACAUGUCAAGAUGGAACACAACUAGGCACGGACAAGAGCCGAGAGCGGUAUCAUUUUCUUUUCCUUUUUUUUUUCAGGAUCUACAUACUUGUAGAUGAGUUGUAUCAUAGAUACAAUAGCCGCAUCAGAGAUUACUUUCAUCCAAUAAAGUUUAUCAUCUAACCGAAAGAUACGCAAAGAUAUCUCCGGACGUUUAGAUAAUAAGACUUUAAAGUCUGAUAAGAAAACCCGUAAUGUCUCUCUCCAAGAUCCUGAAAAACAAAGCAAGCAAAAAUAAGCAUAAGAAUGAUAAAUUAAAGAAAAAAAGUAUGUUGGAGGAAAAUAAACCCAAUUAUGACAUAUAAAUCCUGAAAAAAAUAAUUAUAAUAAUAUAACAACUUAUUCAAAAAUAAGAAUUUUAGAACUAAUAAAAAUAAGAUACAAUUAUAAAAAGUGAUAAUGUCUAACCAAAGUAAGAACUUUGGUUAGACACGCAGUACUAAAUAAAUCAUAAUACAUACUAAUCUUUCUUAUAAGAACAAAAAUACAUAAACAAAUAUUUUAGAUUUUUUUUUUAAGGAAAAGAAGGAAAUCAAAAUUAAAUCAUAUUUAUAUCCCAAUCAACGUAAAUUUAUUAUUUAAUUAUCCAAUUAGUCAACGAAAGGGUUAUCAUAACAUCACAAAGUAAAAGAAAUAAUAGAAUUUAAUUAUUAAUCCAAGAACAAAUUAACCGCAAAAUAUUCAUUUAGGACAAUAGGACGAUAAUCGUGCCAACCCAUAUUGGUCCAAAAAAUAUAUGCCACCAAUUAUGGCCACCCAAAUUAGUACAAACUCCUUGAACGUUAUCAAGACCUAAUAAAAGCCAUAAAUUAGGGCACCCAAUAAAUUUUCAUAAAUAUUAAUAAAAUAACAAAAUUUAAUAUGCCAAUUAAGCGGAAUAAAUGCACAUAAAUACUUACCAAACACACAUUUAUUCAAAAACAUCCCUAAUAUGUAAAUAUAAAUUGCAUUUACACAAAUAUUUAAUACCUUCUGAUGUAUAACCGAAGUUUUUAAUACCUUCCAAUCCAAAAUUAUUGCAGACUAACAUAUAUACAUGCAUAACAUAUAAAUUUAUACCAUAAUUAAAACAAUUCGUAUUCAAAUCAUAACAAAUCAAUAAUCUAUUCGUACCUGCAACUAAAAACAAUUUUGAAAACUAAAAUUUAUAAAGUAGAAGAUUAAACACACACGAAACACAUCCAUCAAUCAAUAACUACGAAGAACACAUAUAAAAACUAAAACACGCCUCAUUUUCGACUAAUAUUGUGGCCGACGACCACAUCAAAUCCGGCCAAGAUAAAACAACUUAGAAAAAUAUAGGUACUACACUCAACAAAAUUCACAACCUAAACCGAACAAAUUCCAACAAAGUUACAAAUGAAUCCGAUAACCGAAAAAACCCUAUACAACUUCUAUAUCAGAAGAGAAGAGAAAGAAACAUGCAAUAAUGUACAUAUACGAUCAUAAUAAAAUACAAAAGCCAACCAAACAAGCGAAAAGCACACAACAAACAUAAGAAAAGACGUACCUUUUAAAGAGACAUAGGGAAUUUGAUCAAAAAAAUAAAGGAAUGAUAUUACCGAUUUUAAAAUAAAACCCAUAAAUCACCAUCGAAUCGGAAUUGUGAGGAGGAAGGAGAUCGGCCAUAGAAUCGAUCGAUUAUUCUAUUGAUCGCCAUCCAAACAGAUAAAUGUAAUUAGCCGUUGACCACAAAUCGUAAGAACUCAGAUGGAGAAAGAGAAUAGUGGCGGAUAGCUUUCGAUGGUUUUGGUUUCUUGGGGAGUAAUCUCUUGUUUGUAUUUUUGAUGAUAAUUGGCCGGUAAGUUUGUCAUCGAGAGCGGUAUCAUUUUAAUAUCAUAGGAACCACGACUAUUAGAUAUUUUGCGAUUAGAUAUGCUGCAGUGAUUUUAUUGUUCAUAGGAGCCGCGACCAUUAGAUAUUUUCCCAUUAGAUAUGUUGCAGUGAUGUUAUUUCUCACUUUACCGAAACGCCAUGUAGACAAAAACACCAAAGAGGUCCAGCAAACAGCCUGGAAACUUUCGAAACUAGCCUUUUUCGACUUGCUAUGGAUCACACUAUGGUGGCUACACUAAUUGAGAGUAUCAGACCCCGCCUCCCCCCCGUUUCAUUCAUUCAUUUAAAGCCAACACAUGUUGGUUAGAUUCAACCAUUAGCCCUUCAUUUGCCCCUAAAUACAUUAUACGCAUAUCGACUGAAAUAUGUUCUAAUCACCCACUAGGCUUUUAUCAACUAAAAUGCCCCACCCCCUGCCUUUGGCUAGAUAUCCUUGAACUAAUAUCCUCUGAAUCAUUAUCCAAAUUUCACUAUAAAUAUGUAACCCCUCCUUCCACUUUUCAUCACUCAAUUAUUCUAUAACCUUCAAACUUCUACAAACAAAAGUGAGAAAUGGAAGGCUUUUCAAAGAAUUUCACUUCUGCUACAGCUUUUUAUCUUCUAUUGGUUUUCCUUUGUAUCUGCAUAAACUCAAGCAUUGCUAUUAACUAUGGAGCUGAAAAGGCAAGCACCAAGUUCAUCAAAACCUCUUGCAGUACUACCAAUUACCCUAGUCUCUGCUUCACCUCACUCUCGAGUCAUACAAAUGCUAUCCAAACAAGUUCUAGGCUUCUAGCUCAGACAGCUCUCUCAGUCGCUCUCAAUCAUGUGGCUUUGACAUCUUCUGCCCUAGUAAGACUGUCAAAAGCUC
rnacentral:lncRNA from 1 species